rnacentral:rRNA from 1 species
UGCCAGCCGCCGCGGUAAUACGGAGGGGGCUAACGUUGUUCGGAAUUACUGGGCGUAAAGCGCGCGUAGGCGGAUUAGACAGUUGAGGGUGAAAUCCCGGAGCUUAACUUCGGAACUGCCCCCAAUACUACUAAUCUAGAGUUCGGAAGAGGUGAGUGGAAUUCCUAGUGUAGAGGUGAAAUUCGUAGAUAUUAGGAAGAACACCAGAGGCGAAGGCGGCUCACUGGUCCGAUACUGACGCUAAGGUGCGAAAGCGUGGGGAGCAAACAGGAUUAGAUA